rnacentral:rRNA from 1 species
CCCUUAGAUGUUCUGGGCCGCACGCGCGCGACACUGAUGCAUUCAACGAGUCUAAAACCUGCUCUGAUAGGGGUGGGUAAUCUUUUGAAUGUGCAUCGUGAUUGGGAUAGAUGAUUGCAAUUUUUCAUCUUCAACGAGGAAUGCCUAGUAAACGCAAGUCAUCAGCUUGCAUUGAUUACGUCCCUGCCCUUUGUACACACCGCCCGUCGCUCCUACCGAUUGAAUGAUCCGAUGAAUAUCAUGGAUUGAGGAUGCAAGUAGGUUCGCCUAUCUUCAUCUUCGAGAAGUGAAGUAAAUCUUAUCAUUUAGAGGAAGGAGAAGUCGUAACA